CGAGCCCAGUCUGGGAGGGGGCGUGGGGCUGCAUCGGCGGCGACUGGCCGGCACACGCGGCGCAGGUGCAGGACGGAGCGAGCAGGGGACAAGUCCGGCGUGGAAAAGCCACGUUUGAAACGGAUGGCAACAACUUCUGCAGCCGGCGGGACGUGGCCUGGCGUGAACGGCAACCUCUCGGCCUCGCCUCCUCGCCGCCCCCGCGGCGCUCCCCAGGCUCUAAGGCGCCAGCGCGCGGGAGCGCAGGGCCGGCCGAGGAGGCCCGGGGCCGCGCGAGCGGCAGUUUCGCUGGGCCCCACUGGGCCCCGCCCCAGGUCCCAGGCCCCGCCCCCGAGGCCCUCCCUCCUCCUUCCGUGUCGGCCCCGCCCCACUGGUCAGGCUUCAGCUGCGCCAAUGGGAUUUUAUUUUAUUCUUCAAUUUGGCCCGAUCUUAAACCACGUGAGGAGACCGCUGCAUUGUGACCGGGCGGUCACGUGGUUUGUCUCAGCUCGCUAACAGCUCUGGGGAGAUGAGUUUUGCGAAGGAAGAAGGUUAGCUUGUUAACAUACUACUUCCGCAGCCUGUCUGGUGGCAAAAACCAGUGGAGAGCACUAAUGACAGGCACGGAGCCUGCAGAAAAGCGUUAGGUAAUAAGCCUCCGGGAGUGAACGGAUGCACGCGUGAGAAGCGUUGCCUCACACGUCAUGAUGGAGGGGCUGGAUCUUAACCCGGCGCUUAGACACAUUGCGUUUUCUUACGCCCCGGUUUUCGCUCUUGAAAGUUGCUAGGCAAAGCGUUUUCGGUUAUUCUGUUCUGCUCUGCGAUGAGAAAGCUAAAAGAAGAGGAAGAAAAAAAAAAAAAAAAGAUCUAAAGUGAGGAGUGUCGUGGGAGGUCCUGAAAGUUAAGUUCUGCCUGCAGGUGUCUGAAUGUACGCCUUCGCCUUCAGACGAAUAUAGCUGCAGAAAUGGAAGAAAGCCAGCAGUCAGAAGGAUGUGGCGCUCAGCAAGUCUACGGGGACUGGGGCGCGAGAGUCUGGCUCAGAAGCACCCAAGAGCCCUUCACCAGAGUAUUUUGUCAUGGCGAGAGAUGGGAAUGAAGGAAAGAGUCUCCCGAUUCAGACUCUGGUAAGCCUUGCCAAGGAGCUGGACUUCUUUUUGAAUGGGAUUUGGGGUCCCCGGAGGAUGUUAAACUGGGGAGUGACAGACUCAACAUGUGCACCCAGAAGACCUCUCUGGCAGGAAUGUUGGGCGUAAAGGGUAAAGGUAGGAGGUCAGAGAGCAACUGGGAUCUGGGGUCCAAGGUGUGUGCUGGUGAGGCGUCUCCAUGGCAAGAACAGGAGGAAGGAUCACAAAUACCCCGGAGGUAGACUUGCGCAGGCAGGAGAGAGCCACAGUAAGGCUCACGCCCCCUUUUGUAGCUUGGACAAGGCGGUGGCAAGAAAGGGACACAAGCAGGGAAGCGGUUUUCCAGGGAACACGGUUGCAGUCGUGGGGCCCACCGAGUUUGAGCUGUGUCUGCAACACGCUGAUAGAGGUGUCUUCGCUGGCACGGAAAUCCAGACCUGACAUUCAGGAUAGAGUGUCAACAUGUUUCAGGUUAGGUAUUCAUCAGGUCAGUUUCAGUUUGCGGGACACCCGGGAAGCUGCCUAGUGACCUUGAAAUCACAGUGGCCAGAGGCACUGGGAUCAGCACCGUUGCCUGACCCACGUGUUCCUCCCUGGCCAUUGAACUGGGUUUCCUUUGCCCCCACUAGGGGGCCAUCCCACAACCAAUGUCAGCCAGCAGUUAGUUUAUGGGACAGUCACAGGGGACGCUAGGUAUGGCACAGUGUCCUGGCUGCUGUGGCAUUUACAGAAACACUAGAGAUAGAUGUAGCCCCUCUCAAAAAAAAAAAAAAAAAAAAAAAAAAGGGAUUCAAAAGCCGCUAUCAAUGAGAUACAGAGAUUGUGUACACCUUCAUCCUCGUGUGUGUGCGCGCGCGUGUGUGUGCACGUGUGCCUGGGGUUACCUCUUCUGAGUGCCCCCAUCUUCUAUGUUCAUCAGGGCGCUGCCCAUAUCACAGAAAAACCUCUCUUCUUCAGACCCUGACACUUCUGGGACACGUUUCUGCGAUGGCCUUUAGUAACCUAGAAAUGCUUUUCCCGCGUCUGCCUUCCCCAGAGGAUGGAUUGCUUCAGUUAGGCCCCUGAGGUCUCUCUGGAGGAGCAGAGAGGGCCCCAGAGGAUCUAGUUUUCCGGCUGCCCUGCCGCCACCAGCCAUCGACCCGCAGAGAGGCCUGCUGCUUCACUCUGGAGAGCAGAAGGGGUGCGUAAAAGCAGGGCAGAGAGAAGGCCCUUGGUUCAGAAUCAGAGCUGCCCCUUCAUACCUCCACUUUUAGAAGCUCUUAUCUUCAAGGAUGCCUAUGACACAGUGGCCCUGCCCUCACGUCCUCCUCUGACGCCGGUCCCAACCCGGCCGUGUCUGCCAUGCUGCAGUUUUGAUCUCCUCGACCCAGAAAGCCCCUUCUCUUGGCUCGCUGGACACCAGCCCCGGCGGCUUCGGUCCUGCCCCGCUGGGCCGUCUGAGCACCGAGGUGGUCUCGUACGUUUGAAUUUUCGGCUGAGCCUCCCGAGGCAGCAAUCACGUCCUAGGCACCCUGUGUUUCCCAGGGCCUACCGUUUGUUCACAGAUCCCACUGCUGCUGUGGCCUAGCCCCGCCUCUCAGACUGUUCUCUUUCCUCCUGCUGCUCUCAUUGGCCGUCCUCCCCCAGAGCCUGGGACAUGCUGGCAACCCCCUCCAAUGUGUCCAUGUCACCAGCCCUCCCCCACCUUCUGCUGGCGGGGUAGUCGGGGGAGGUGCCUAGGGCCUGGGCUGGAUAGUAACUUCUUCAGGGCCACCCCUGACACUUCCCCACUGUAGAAGUUCAACUCAUUUACUCACCCCCCCACCCCUUUUCCUGACUUGAUUUCCACUGACACGUCAUUAAAGAACUCAUUUCUUAUUGAA